rnacentral:rRNA from 1 species
UACGAAGGGGGCUAGCGUUGCUCGGACUUACUGGGCGUAAAGGGAGCGUAGGCGGAUAGUUUAGUCAGAGGUGAAAGCCCAGGGCUCAACCUUGGAAUUGCCUUUGAUACUGGCUAUCUUGAGUUUGGGAGAGGUGAGUGGAACUCCGAGUGUAGAGGUGAAAUUCGUAGAUAUUCGGAAGAACACCAGUGGCGAAGGCGACUCACUGGCCCAAUACUGACGCUGAGGCUCGAAAGCGUGGGGAGCAAACAGG